GUGAUGUCUGCAGGACCCUGUCUCUCCUGUAUCCCAGAGUGCGUGCAAUACAACCGCCUCCAGGAGUGGUCUCCAUCACACAACCCAACAGCUCUACCAUGAAUGUGGGACACCUACCUAAGAAGUUUUACAGCUCCACACACCCACCAACAUCCUCCUCCUCUCUCUGGCUGUCUCUGACCUUCUAGUGGGCCUUGUGCUGAUGCCUGUAGAAAUUCUCAGCAGAACAUCCUGCUGGUUUCUUGGUGACUUUGUGUGUGCUAUGUAUACUCUUAUUUGCCUCAUCAUUCCCUCAUCCUCAAUAGGUGACAUAGUUCUCAUAUCAGUUGACCGUUAUGUGGCUAUUUGUGACCCUCUGCACUACAACACUAAAGUCACUGUGAGAAGAGUUAAAUUCUGUGUUUGUCUGUGUUGGCUCUGUUCUUUUACCUACAGCCUUCUUUAUGUAAAGGAUCUUCCGACUCAACCAGGGAGUUUUAAAUUCUGCUACGGAGCAUGUUUUAUAGCCCCUGAUAAAAGCUCACUGCUUUUUGAUCUUUUUGUUAACUUUAUUUUUCCAGUUACUGUCAUCGUAGCUCUGUAUCUGAGAAUAUUUGCCGUGGCUGUGUCUCAGGCUCGUGCCAUGCGCUCUCACAUUACAGCUGUCACACUUCAGCAUUCAGUGACUCCAAAGGCAAAGAAAUCAGAGCUGAAAGCAGCCAGGAAGCUUGGUGUUCUUGUAGUUGUUUUUCUAAUAUGUGUAUGCCCAUUAUACAUCGUAACAUGGGUACCUUACAACUGGAUUGUAGCUUUUAUUCAACCCUUUUCAGCCGUUCUGUUUUUGUCUAACUCUUGUCUAAACCCUGUGAUCUAUGCCUUCUUGUACCCCUGGUUUAGAAAAUCAGUUAAACAGAUUGUAACUCUUCAGAUACUGCAGCCUGGCUCCUCUGAGACCAACAUGCUGUAGAGAGGCGGUGGAGGGACUGAGAUCAGACUCGGUCUAAGGAUAAAUGAAUGAAUAUGUUCCUGCUGUUCAGUGAGUGAAUUAUCAAAUACAGGAAGUGAAGAUAUGAUUACCCAUCAAUUAAAAGACCUGUGCUUCAGCUAUUGCUUGUUGUUCUCUUUUCCUCUCUGCAAAGAGUCCUAAGCACCAUAUCCUGUCUCUAGGUAAUCACCGGUUUAAUGCAAGUUUUAAAUUCACUGACACUUAUGAAGGGUGUUUUCUUCCAAAAACCGUUUCUCCUUUUGAUGGAAACAUUUC